UACGGAGGGUGCGAGCGUUGUCCGGAUUUACUGGGUUUAAAGGGUGCGUAGGUGGGCAGGUAAGUCAGUGGUGAAAUCUCCGGGCUUAACCCGGAAACUGCCAUUGAUACUAUUUGUCUUGAAUACUUUGGAGGUAAGCGGAAUAUGUCAUGUAGCGGUGAAAUGCUUAGAUAUGGCAUAGAACGCCAAUUGCGCAGGCAGCUUACUACACAGUUAUUGACACUGAGGCACGAAAGCGUGGGGAUCAAACAGG
rnacentral:rRNA from 1 species